AAAUUUAGAAUUUAAAAAUAUAAUUAAAAAUUAUAAAUAGUACUUGAAUUUA
rnacentral:tRNA from 1 species